rnacentral:rRNA from 1 species
UACGAAUGGAGCGAGCGUUGUUCGGAAUCACUGGGCGUAAAGGGUGCGCAGGCGGUCAUGAAAGUUAGAAGUGAAAUCCCAGGGCUUAACCCUGGAAUGGCUUUUAAAACUCCAUGACUAGAGUACUGGAGAGGUUGGCGGAAUUCCGAGUGUAGAGGUGAAAUUCGCAGAUAUUCGGAGGAACACCAAUGGGCGUAGGCAGCCAACUGGACAGUAACUGACGCUCAUGCACGAAAGCGUGGGGAUCAAACAGG